rnacentral:rRNA from 1 species
UCAGUUGUCUUAUAAUUGAAGACUGGAAUGAAUGGUUAAACGAAAUUAGAGCUGUUUCAUUUGUAUUUAUUAGAAAUUGGCUUUUAAAUGAAGAGAUUUAAAUUUGAUUAAGGGACAAGAAGACCCUAUUGAGCUUUAAAUAAUUUUGAGGGUUAAAGUUAUUAUAAAGAUCUAUGAUCUUUAGUAUUUUUUUAGUUGGGGCGACUAAGGAACAGGAGAAGCUUCCUUUAUUUAUUUAAUUGAUAAAUUUUGAUCCUGUAUUACUGAUUAAGAGAGAUAGUUACCAUAGGGAUAACAGCAUAAUCUUCUUGGAGAGUUCUUAUUAAAAAGGGGGGUUGUGACCUCGAUGUUGGACUAAAAUAUCCUAAGGGUGUAGAAGC